rnacentral:tRNA from 1 species
GGAGGGGCUUUGGCUCAGUGGAAGUCUAUCUGCUUGGCAUGCAGAAGGUCCCAGGUUCAGUUCCUGGCAUCUCCA